GACGAACGCUGGCGGCGUGCCUAAUACAUGCAAGUAGAACGCUGACUACUUUAGCUUGCUAGAGUAGAAGGAGUUGCGAACGGGUGAGUAACGCGUAGGUAACCUGCCUACUAGCGGGGGAUAACUAUUGGAAACGAUAGCUAAUACCGCAUAACAGUGUUUAACACAUGUUAGAGGCUUGAAAGAUGCAAUUGCAUCACUAGUAGAUGGACAUGCGUUGUAUUAGCUAGUUGGUGGGGUAACGGCCCACCAAGGCGACGAUACAUAGCCGACCUGAGAGGGUGAUCGGCCACACUGGGACUGAGACACGGCCCAGACUCCUACGGGAGGCAGCAGUAGGGAAUCUUCGGCAAUGGGGGCAACCCUGACCGAGCAACGCCGCGUGAGUGAAGAAGGUUUUCGGAUCGUAAAGCUCUGUUGUAAGAGAAGAACGUGUGUGAGAGUGGAAAGUUCACACAGUGACGGUAACUUACCAGAAAGGGACGGCUAACUACGUGCCAGCAGCCGCGGUAA
rnacentral:rRNA from 1 species